CGGCCCUGGGUGCUGAUACCAUUUCCAUGCAACCCUACGUGUUGAAGCCUCAGUUUAUAUCUUUUUGUCCUUUUUUUCGUUUCCCAAACACACAUCCCCUUUGAAAAUCCGUUGUCCUUUAUCACUCUGUUCUCUAUCUUUUGUCAUUGCUCUCUUUAUUUCUUACCCUUGAGCCUACAGCUGUCUCUUUCACCUGUGUCUUGGCCUGUAGCUGGAAUUUGGCAGAUUUACGUUGAUUGUUUGAGUGUGAUCAUACUUAUCAGAAAAAGAGUGAAUUCUUUGAGCAGUCAUUCCCACAAACAGAACAUAUUGUCCUGAGCUUAGUGUUUAGAGAUGUGGCCCUAGAUAGAGCGUAGUGGUGUUAAUGGAUUGAUUUAACUGGUCCCAAUUAGUUGGGAGUAGGGUUAGUUGCGUUGGGUAAUCCAAUUUCAAUUGAUUUUAGUAUAGAAUGCCUGUUCUUGCUUUUGAUUUCAAUCAAGUACUGUGUUUAUUUCACAUUUUAAUAUAUUUAUUUUUGGUUGAUGAAAUUUCAGUUUUCGAUCUUGCUUUGAUAUAACAUGGGGUUUUGUAAUAAUAAUUGGUUAUUAGGGGGAACUUGUAGCUUCUGGGGCAAAUGUAGGUGGUUACUGGUGGCAGCUCAUGGCCAGAUUCUAAUUUUGGGUAACCUUAUGCUUCGUGGUUGCCCUUUGUUGAAUCAUUUUUUUAAUGAAGAAUCUAUGGGUCACCUGCUGAUUUUCUGUCCAGUAGCUCAUUCUAUGUGGAUGUAUAUGCUUCAAUUGUUUAGGAUUGAUUGGGUUAUGCCAGGUUCAACUGCAAACUUAUUAUUUUGUUGGUAUCAUUAGUUUGGGAAACAUAAUUCCAAUAUUUGGAAUUUGGUUCCAGGCUGUUUGAUGUGGACUAUUUGGACUGAACGUAAUUGACAUUCUUUUAAGGAUACUGAGAAAUCUCUAGCUCAGUUGUUAGAUUUGUGCCAACGGACUCUCUUUGAUUGGUCUCAGUGUUGGGGUUUCUUGGAUUGUUCUGCUCUUAUGGAUUUUCUUUUAUCUCUUAGAAUAGUUUAAUGACUGUUUGUUCCUAUUUGUUUCUGUUUGCUCUUUGUUCACUAUUGUGAACUCUAUGUAUUUUUCCUUCUAUUCCUUUUUUAAUAAUAUUUUCUUUCUUAUCUAUCCAAAAAAAAAAAAAAAGUUACCGGUGACAGUUACUGUUUCCAUUCCUUUUCUGAUAAAACAUAAAAGGUUGAUAAAAUUGGAAAUUUUGAAGCUUUCUAUCGCAAGUCUUUGCGUAUCCAAAAGCUGCAGGAGAAAUGGGACUUCAGGUGUUCAGCAUUGGAGUUUUACCACCUUUGCUUUGGUUUGUGAUCUAUUGUUCAAAAGUAUCAUCUUAUUAAUUGAGUUGAUGACACACUGGUAGAGCAGCUUGUGAAAUCUGAUAAAACUUGUUAAGAGAGGUGAGUCCCUAGUUAAUUGGUGUUGCUUGUGUUGGUGUGAUGGGGAAUUGGUAGACCAUCUUUUACUUCAUUGUAAGUUUUCUCAUGCUUUAUGGAAUGAAGUUUUUUAGGUGUUUGGGGUCCAAUGGAUUUUGCCGAAGACUGUUUUCUCUCUUCUUUUUGCAUGGAGGAAUUGGUUUGGGAAGCAACUGCCAAAUAUCUGGAAUAUAGUUCCAGCUUGUCUUGAGUUGCUUUUCUUGGUGGCUUUACCUCAUAUAUCCCUUUUUUUUUCUUUGUUGGAUUUUGAUGUCUGAGACUCUAUGAUUUCUGCUACUGGGAGGUUAUCAGUAAAAUUCCAGUGUUCUUCCAGCACUUUUUUGCCGUCUCAUACAAUUGUUGACAUAUCUGGAACAGAGCAGUGCAGAUAGAAAAUGCAGAGAAGAAAGUGCAAGCUACUAGACUGUCUAAUACGGAAAUGCACUUGUGGCUAGGCUUCUUGAGGGCACCGGGGUCAAUGUGAAUAAUUGCAUUAUACGCGGAGUUCUUGUAACUGUUGGGGAUCUUACUAGAGUGGGUGGUUAUUUAACGAGACAAUACAUUCCUGAACAUAUGCCUUUAAUUGUUGAAGCUUUAUUGGAUGGAGCAGCUAUCACAAAACGUGAAGUGGCUGUUGUUACUCUUGGUCAAGUUGUGCAGAGCACUGGGCAUGUGACACUUUUCUUAAGGUAUGUUAUAAUUCCAUAAAAUGAGUAUCCGCAGCUACUUGAAUGGUGAGUUAGCAUGGUCUACCAGACAGGAAGCACUGAAGGGAUCUACUUACGACUUAGACUUCUGAGUUGUAUCCCGUACAACAUUUUUUUUGUACAAAGGUUGUUCUUGUUUAGAUCCUUGGAAUUAUGGGUGCUCUGGAUCCUCAUGUGCAUAAAAAAAAUCAGCCAAGUUUGCUGGGGUUGCAUGGAGAUGUAGCCUGUGCUACCAGUGAUUCAGGUCAUGUUCAGUCCUUGGAUGAUCUGCCUAUGGAUCUGUGGCCAUCUCUUGCAACACCUGAAGAUUAUUAACCCACGGUUGCGACCAAUUCUCUCAUGCGAAUACUUUGGGAUCCUUCUCUUGCUAGUUACCACCUUAAGGUGGUUGGAUCACUUAUGUUCACAUUUAAGUUAUGUAUUAGCUCUGGAGGUAAAAGCUUGACUUCCAAAAUGCCAAGGGAUAGAAGAAGGCUUUCCUUGUGUGCAGAUUUUAGUGCCCUGAGCAUGGAACAAGGUAUACCAGAAGAAAAGUUGGGAUCAGUCAAUGAUGUGAAAGAAUGUGAAGAAGCUAGAUGCCCAAUCUGCAUGGAGCACCCUCAUAAUGCUAUUCUCUUCGAGUGUACCUCCCAUGGGAAGGGCUGCCGGACUUACAUUUGCAACACCAACUACUGGCACGCCAGUUAUGUAAUUCAUUUAUUCCACAUUCCUCAAGGGCACUAGACCCUUGUGAAAUCUCGUUGCAAACAAAGGUAGUCUCUCCUCUUUGUUGGGGAGAGAUUUAUGGAUACUUUAUAGUAGAGCCUGCUAUUAAAUUCAUGAAUUCCAAAGCAAGGAGUUGUUCUUUGAGAUGUGUGAUUUUAUCGGGACCUAUUCAGAACUCAGGACGCAUUCAAGGUCUGAACACUCUUUCCAGCUAUAUGAGACAAGACUGGAAAAGGAGAAGGGCGAAGAAUGCAGCACUUUCUCAGAACUCUGGAAAGAGAGUAGUGAAGAAAGCACUUUCUCAAUAGGCCAUAGUGCAUUGACCUCUUCCUUGGUUGAUUUAUGCAUGCCCGGUAAUUCGGAGGAAAGUAACAACACUUUCAUUUUGUCUUCAGAUGGUAUGAUCCCACAUUGGAGGCUUUUACCUCAACUUGAUUACCCUAGGCUUCCUAUUAUUAGGCAGGGCAACAAUUUGUCAUCAGACAGUAACUCCUGUUCUUGGUCAUUACAGAAUGGUUAUCAUCAUAGACCCCAAUUCUAGCUCUCACCAAUGCCUGAGCAAUUACCAUGGAGUGUUCCUAGCUAGUUCCAUAGGAUUAUCUGAAAAUGCCCCACUCAUGGCAAUUGUAUAUGCAACAGGGUGAUUACAAUAACCAACGCUGAUUACAAUUUUGUUGUUAAUUUGGCUGUAAGUGUUAUUUGGUUAUUAAUUGGAACUUGUGGUUGUUCUCAUUGUUAGCUUUGAUAUAUUAGGUUAUGUAUCAUAUUGAAACUAAA